GACGAACGCUGGCGGCGUGCUUAACACAUGCCAGUCGAACGGAAAGGCCCCUUCGGGGGUACUCGAGUGGCGAACAGGUGAGUAACACGUGAGUAACCUGCCCUUGACUUCGGGAUAACUUCAGGAAACUGGGGCUAAUACCGGAUAGGAAUCCUUGCUGCAUGGUGGGGGUUGGAAAGCUUCGGCGGUUUUGGAUGGACUCGCGGCUUAUCAGCUUGUUGGUGGGGUAGUGGCUUACCAAGGCUUUGACGGGUAGCCGGCCUGAGAGGGCGACCGGCCACAUUGGGACUGAGAUACGGCCCAGACUCCUACGGGAGGCAGCAGUGGGGAAUAUUGCACAAUGGGCGGAAGCCCGAUGCAGCAACGCCGCGUGCGGGAUGACGGCCUUCGGGUUGUAAACCGCUUUCAGCAGGGGCGAAGCUUGUGGUGACGGUACCUGCAGAAGAAGCACCGGCUAACUACGUG
rnacentral:rRNA from 1 species